GCAGUAGCCGCGGGAAUACGAAGGGUGCAAGCGUUACUCGGAAUUACUGGGCGUAAAGUGUGCGUAGGUGGUGGUUUAAGUCCGUUGUGAAAGCCCUGGGCUCAACCUGGGAAUUGCAGUGGAUACUGGGUCACUAGAGUGUGGUAGAGGAUAGUGGAAUUUCCGGUGUAGCAGUGAAAUGCGUAGAGAUCGGAAGGAACAUCUGUGGCGAAGGCGACUAUCUGGGCCAACACUGACACUGAGGCACGAAAGCGUGGGGAGCAAACAGGAUUAGAUACCCGUGUAGUCCCUGUCUCUUAUAC
rnacentral:rRNA from 1 species